rnacentral:tRNA from 1 species
GGUGGCUCAGUGGUAGAGUGCUUGCCUUGCAUGCAUGACGCCCUGGGUUCGAUUCCACAGCACCA